rnacentral:rRNA from 1 species
GGUUACCUUGUUACGACUUCACCCCAGUCAUGAAUCACACCGUGGUAACGCCCUCCCGAAGGUUAGACUAUCUACUUCUGGUGCAAUCCACUUCCAUGGUGUGACGGGCGGUGUGUACAAGAACCGAAUAACGUAUUCACCGCGGCAUGCUGAUCCGCGAUUACUAUCGAUUCCGACUUCAUGGAGUCGAGUUGCAGACUCCAAUCCGGACUACGAGAAACUUUCUAGGAUUAGCACCACCUCGCGGCUUAGCGUCCGUCUGUAUUCCCCAUUGUAGCACGUGUGUAGCCCUACUCGUAAGGGCCAUGAUGACUUGACGUCGUCCUCACCUUCCUCCGGUUUAUCACCGGCAGUCCCCUUAUAGUUCCCGACCGAAAUCGCUGGCAAAUAAGGGUUAGGGUUGCGCUCGUUAUCCGACUUAAACGGAAC